GGGGUUGUGGCUCAGCAGUAGAGCGCUCACCUUACACAUGUGAGAACCCGGGUUCAAUCCUCGGCACCA
rnacentral:tRNA from 1 species